rnacentral:rRNA from 1 species
AGGGUUUGAUCCUGGCUCAGAUUGAACGCUAGCGGGAUGCCUUACACAUGCAAGUCGAACGGCAGCACGGACUUCGGUCUGGUGGCGAGUGGCGAACGGGUGAGUAAUGUAUCGGAACGUGCCCAGUAGCGGGGGAUAACUACGCGAAAGCGUAGCUAAUACCGCAUACGCCCUACGGGGGAAAGCAGGGGAUCGUAAGACCUUGCACUAUUGGAGCGGCCGAUAUCGGAUUAGCUAGUUGGUGGGGUAACGGCUCACCAAGGCGACGAUCCGUAGCUGGUUUGAGAGGACGACCAGCCACACUGGGACUGAGACACGGCCCAGACUCCUACGGGAGGCAGCAGUGGGGAAUUUUGGACAAUGGGGGAAACCCUGAUCCAGCCAUCCCGCGUGUGCGAUGAAGGCCUUCGGGUUGUAAAGCACUUUUGGCAGGAAAGAAACGUCAUGGGUUAAUACCCCGUGAAACUGACGGUACCUGCAGAAUAAGCACCGGCUAACUACGUGCCAGCAGCCGCGGUAAUACGUAGGGUGCAAGCGUUAAUCGGAAUUACUGGGCGUAAAGCGUGCGCAGGCGGUUCGGAAAGAAAGAUGUGAAAUCCCAGAGCUUAACUUUGGAACUGCAUUUUUAACUACCGGGCUAGAGUGUGUCAGAGGGAGGUGGAAUUCCGCGUGUAGCAGUGAAAUGCGUAGAUAUGCGGAGGAACACCGAUGGCGAAGGCAGCCUCCUGGGAUAACACUGACGCUCAUGCACGAAAGCGUGGGGAGCAAACAGGGAUUAGAUACCCUGGUAGUCCACGCCCUAAACGAUGUUCAACUAGCUGUUGGGGCCUUCGGGCCUUGGUAGCGCAGCUAACGCGUGAAGUUGACCGCCUGGGGAGUACGGUCG